GCCUUAUCACCCUUGAUAUGGCUCUCUACUACUUUUAACAUAUUUAGCAUUGGUAAGGAACUUGUCCAAUUUGUUCAUAUAAAAGAUUAUCACAAACUUUGGACAAAGAGUCUGGGAGAGACUGAAAGAUGAGAUCUUGAUUAAGUUCUCCAUCCAUCUUGAAACCCAAUUGACUCAAUCUAAUGAUCAAGUCAAUAAUCAAGAACUGGACC
rnacentral:lncRNA from 1 species